rnacentral:rRNA from 1 species
UACGUAGGUGGCAAGCGUUAUUCGGAAUUAUUGGGCGUAAAGAGUGAGCAGGCGGCAUGAUAAGUUUGGAGUGAAAGCGUGGGGCUCAACCCCAUACAGCUUCAAAAACUGUCAAGCUAGAGUGCGAGUGAGGUAAGCGGAAUUCCAUGUGUAGCGGUGAAAUGCGUAGAUAUAUGGAGGAACACCAGUGGCGAAGGCGGCUUACUAGCUCGAUACUGACGCUCAGUCACGAAAGCGUGGGGAGCAAAUA